UACGUAGGAGACGAGCGUUGUCCGGAAUUACUGGGCGUAAAGCGCGUGUAGGCGGAUGAGCAAGUCUGCUGUGAAAGCUCCUGGCUUAACCGGGAGUGGUCGGUGGAAACUGCUCGUCUGGAGGACGGUAGAGGUAGGUAGAAUUCCCGGUAUAGUGGUGAAAUGCGUAGAGAUCGGGAGGAAUACCUGUGGCGAAGGCGGCCUACUGGGCCGGACCUGACGCUGAGACGCGAAGGCGUGGGGAGCGAACGGG
rnacentral:rRNA from 1 species